CCUACGGGGGGCAGCAGUGGGGAAUAUUGCGCAAUGGGCGAAAGCCUGACGCAGCGACGCCGCGUGAGGGAUGAAGGUCUUCGGAUCGUAAACCUCUGUCAGCAGGGAAGAACGGUCACUGUGCUAAUCAGCAGUGAAUUGACGGUACCUGCAAAGGAAGCACCGGCUAACUCCGUGCCAGCAGCCGCGGUAAUACGGAGGGUGCGAGCGUUAAUCGGAAUUACUGGGCGUAAAGCGCUCGUAGGCGGUAUGUCAAGUCAAGGGUGAAAUCCCCGCGCCGAACGUGGGAACUGCCUUUGAAACUGGCAAACUGGAGUGUGUGAGAGGAUAGUGGAAUUCCAGGUGUAGGAGUGAAAUGCGUAGAUAUCUGGCGGAACAGCAGUGGCGAAGGCGACUAUCUGGCACAUAACUGACGCUGAGGAGCGAAAGCGUGGGUAGCAAACAGGAUUAGAUACCCCUGUAGUC
rnacentral:rRNA from 1 species